rnacentral:rRNA from 1 species
GACGAACGCUGGCGGCGUGCUUAACACAUGCAAGUCGAACGGAAAGGCCCUGCUUUUGUGGGGUGCUCGAGUGGCGAACGGGUGAGUAACACGUGAGUAACCUGCCCUCGACUUUGGGAUAACUUCAGGAAACUGGGGCUAAUACCGGAUAGGAGCUCCUGCUGCAUGGUGGGGGUUGGAAAGUUUCGGCGGUUGGGGAUGGACUCGCGGCUUAUCAGCUUGUUGGUGGGGUAGUGGCUUACCAAGGCUUUGACGGGUAGCCGGCCUGAGAGGGUGACCGGCCACAUUAGGACUGGGAUGAGACCCAGACUCCUACGGGAGGCAACAGUGGGGAAUAGUGCACAAUGGGCGGAAGCCUGAUGCAACAACGCCACGUGCGGGAUGACGGCCUUCGGGUUGUAAACCGCUUUCGCCUGUGACGAAGCGUGAGUGACGGUAAUGGGUAAAGAAGCACCGGCUAACUACGUG